rnacentral:lncRNA from 1 species
GACGGUUCACAUACUAAUCAAAGCUUUAGGAAACAUGUCCAGUUAAACAUAGGUGAGAAUCAAGAAGAAUUUUAUCUUUUGAUUACUAUUGCUUUUAAUGUGUAGCCAAAAAUCAAUAAGAAACCUAGCAGCAUCAGUAAUGGGUAGUUUGAACAUUGACAUUAGUAGCAUACGAAUACAUGGGAUGGGAUAGCGAAGAAGCAUGAUGACUGACCUAUAUAUUCAUGUGUUUAUUAUAUAUUCAUGACCUAUAUAUUCAGAACACAGUGUCACGUCACUUUCAUCUCUGUAUUCCUUUUUUUCUUUUCCUUCACACAUUGCUUUCCUUCUUUUCUUUCUCCACCCCAUUUUGGUGAAAAACCAAAAGCUACUUUGCAAUCCUAUUCUACAAUGCUUUGACCAAUGCUUUCAAAAUUUAAAUUUCAAAAACCCCUCCAAAAUCAUUCUCUAAAAUUUGCUACAUUUCAUUUUUCUCUUAAAUUUUUUGUUUGUGGUCCUUUUGUCACACUCUAAGUGGAUCACUUUUAGUUUCGUAUUUUUAUUUUUAUUUACAUAGAAGGAAUUAUUGUCAUUCUUUGAAUUUCUUACUAUAGCGAGUUAGUGAGGUGCAUAACUUGAUUGUAUUUGAAAACUCCUCAUUAGACGUUGAAGUUAAUAUCACAUAACUUGAUUCGUAUGCUACAGCCACUUCAAAUCUGGUUUUGUGCACACUUAACUGAUUUUGUUUUAUACCUGGCAGAGAAUUCCAUGGAGAUCGAACCUUAAAUGAGAAACAAGUUGAGAUUCUUAAUGACAUCACUAUCAUUUUCAGAGGUAACCCUUAUUUCUUUCUAUUUUCCGUUACGUCAUUAUUUAUAAAAAAUAAUGUAACUACUUUGUUGUCAAUGAUUUGCAUUCUCCAAACUUCAUGUAUAGUAUUAUAAAAGAAUAAGCCACCAGACUCUCAAUGCAAAACAUGCCUAAUAAUCGGUAUAGUGCGGUAGGGCAUUCAACUCAAUAUCAUUUUGUUUUGGUUGUUUAACCAUGUUUUAAUUUCGAGUUUGUGCCUGAACUAACAUAAGUGGUACGAUGUUUUGGCAUCUAGAAUUAUUUUGAUGAUUGUCUUUUUCUACAGUUUUUGACCAAAUAUUACAGAGCAUGUCAUACGGAAAAAAUUAGAAAGGAAGGAGCAAGAAGAUUAGCUAAAGCUUGAGUGCAACUAAGAUAGAUACAGUUUGUAAUAAAUAUAAUACCCUUAAAUGUUGAAUAGAAUCACUGUCUAACAUUGUUUUUCCAAUAUAAUUAUGCUUAUUCAAUAGCUUUAAAGCAUUGCUUUAUUUUUUUCAAAUGCAUUGAUUUGGUGAAUUAGUCUUCAAUUAGAUUUAUUUUGGUUUUUUGUUUUUUAUUUUUCCUUUUUGUUGAUAGUUUCAUUGCAUUUUCUACGUUGCUCUAUAGUUUUUCAAUCACAUUAAUUAUUAACAUUCAUAUUCACGAUGAAGCUAAUUGUAUUAGUAUAAAACAAAAUACGUUUAAAACGUUCUCUUUAUUAAUCAAUUCUUAUAAGACGAGAGGUUAUAGUAUAUACUAUUGAUAUUAUUUUUUUUGUUCGAUCUGAUGUUAGCGAGGAAGAAUAUAUAUU